UGAACAAAGAGAUCUGUCUCCCCGGAU
rnacentral:piRNA from 1 species